AUCACGCUUAAACAUUUCUGCACACCGCAUGUGUAACCCUUACACACUUUGAGGCAACGCAUGCAAAAUGGCCUGAAUGUGUGAAAAUUAUGUGUAAGUCAUACUCACAACGUGAGUUGAUGACCAGUUACACAUUUUUGUGCAGGCUGCUCGGUGCCAAACGCUUGAGCGUUUGUCAACAUUUCAACGAAAAAAAAAAUAAAAAAAAAAUAGAUUGCGGUGUUUGCGAACUUGCGUUGUUUCCCAGCAAUUGAAAAGCGAUGAAGGAGCAUCCAACCAAAUGUUCCGUGGAGAGGAGGAGACAGUUGCUCGGGUGAGCGAACUUCGGAUCGACAACCAUUGCCGGAAGAAAGCAUCCUGCUCAGAAACACCUCGAGUUGGACACUGGAUUGGUUUUUUUUAACAAAAUUUGCUUGGUAUCCAUGUAGGUUAUACACAUUUAUAAUUUAAAAAGUAGUAAUAAACUCAUGUGAAAAUGA